CAGCAGCCACGGGAAUACAGAGGGUGCGAGCGUUAAUCGGAUUUACUGGGCGUAAAGCGUGCGUAGGCGGCUUCUUAAGUCGGAUGUGAAAUCCCUGAGCUUAACUUAGGAAUUGCAUUCGAUACUGGGAAGCUAGAGUAUGGGAGAGGAUGGUAGAAUUCCAGGUGUAGCAGUGAAAUGCGUAGAGAUCUGGAGGAAUACCGAUGGCGAAGGCAGCCAUCUGGCCUAACACUGACGCUGAGGUACGAAAGCAUGGGGAGAAAACAGGAUUAGAUACCCCCGUAGUCCCUGUCUCUUAUAC
rnacentral:rRNA from 1 species